rnacentral:tRNA from 1 species
GCGGAUGUAACUCAAUUGGCUAGAGUCACUGCCUUCCAAGCAGUUGGUUGCGCGUUCGAGUCGCGUCAUCCGCU